AACGUAGGAGACAAACGUUAUCCGGAGUUACUGGGCGUAAAGGGCGUGUAGGUGGUUUCGUAAGUCUGGCGUGAAAUAUCUCGGCUUAACCGAGGCAGGUCGUCGGAUACUGCGGAACUAGAGGACGGUAGAGGCGCGUGGAAUUCCGGGUGUAGUGGUGAAAUGCGUAGAUAUCGGAAGGAACAUCAGUGGCGAAAGCGGCUUCCUGGACCAGAACUGACGAUCAGGCACGAAAGCGUGGGGAGCAAACAGG
rnacentral:rRNA from 1 species